rnacentral:rRNA from 1 species
GGGCAACCAGUGGGGAUUUUUGGCCAAGGGGGGAAACCUGAUUCCAGCCAUCCGGCGGGUUGGAAGAAGCUUUUGGGUUGGUAAACCCCUUUAAGUUGGAAGGAAGGCCUUUUGUUUAAUCCCGGGCGGUUUUGCCGUUCCCAACAGAAAAAGCCCCGGUUAAUUUGGUCCCACCAGCCGGGGUAAUACGAGGGGGGCAAGCUUUAUUGGGAAUUUUUGGGGGUAAAGCGGGGGUAGGGGGUUUUUUAAUUUGGAUGUGAAACCCCCGGGUUCACCCUGGGAAUUCCAUUCAAAACUGUCCAGUUAGAGUUUGGCAGGGGGUGGUGGAAUUUCGGGUGUAGCGGUGAAAUGCGUAGAUAUGGGAGGGAACACCAGUGGGGAAGGCGACCCCCUGGGCAAAUAUUGACCUUGAGGUGGGAAAGGGGGGGGGGCAAACGGGUUUAAUUCCCCGGGUAGUCCACCCCUUAAACGACUCGACUAACCGGGGGGUGACUCGCCCCCAGUGG